UGGGGAAUAUUGCACAAUGGGCGCAAGCCUGAUGCAGCAACGCCGCGUGAGGGAUGACGGCCUUCGGGUUGUAAACCUCUUUUAGCAGGGAAGAAGCGAAAGUGACGGUACCUGCAGAAAAAGCGCCGGCUAACUACGUGCCAGCAGCCGCAGUAAUACGUAGGGCGCAAGCGUUAUCCGGAAUUAUUGGGCGUAAAGAGCUCGUAGGCGGUUUGUCGCGUCUGCUGUGAAAUCCCGAGGCUCAACCUCGGGUCUGCAGUGGGUACGGGCAGACUAGAGUGCGGUAGGGGAGAUUGGAAUUCCUGGUGUAGCGGUGGAAUGCGCAGAUAUCAGGAGGAACACCGAUGGCGAAGGCAGAUCUCUGGGCCGUAACUGGCGCUGAGGAGCGAAAGGGUGGGGAGCAAACAGGCUUAGAUACCCUGGUGAGUCCACCCCGUAAACGUUGGGAACUAGUUGUGGGGUCCAUUCCACGGAUUCCGUGACGCAGCUGAACGCAUU
rnacentral:rRNA from 1 species